AUACGUAGGUGGCGAGCGUUAUCCGGAUUUACUGGGUGUAAAGGGCGCGUAGGCGGGGAAGCAAGUCGGGUGUGAAAUCUAUGGGCUUAACCCAUAAACUGCACUUGAAACUGUUUCUCUUGAGUGCUGGAGAGGUAGACGGAAUUCCUUGUGUAGCGGUGAAAUGCGUAGAUAUAAGGAAGAGCACCAGUGGCGAAGGCGGUCUACUGGACAGUAACUGACGCUGAGGCGCGAAAGCGUGGGGAGCAAACAGGAUUAGAUACCCUGGUAGUCCACGCUGUAAACGAUGAAUACUAGGUGUGGGGGGACUGACCCCCUCCGUGCCGCAGUUAACACAAUAAGUAUUCCACCUGGGGAGUACGGCCGCAAGGUUGAAACUCAAAUGAAUUGGCGGGG
rnacentral:rRNA from 1 species